UGUUCUAUCUCAUCCAGCCUAAGCUCGUCAAACCCUGUUUCACUAUCCAGAUUCUGACCAAUAGCAGAAAAUUCACCAUUGUCCUACAGAGGUUGUAGUAAACAGAUUACGAACUUGUGAAAUUAGGAAAUUAUUUGAACAAGAGUUAAUAGGAGAUAAAAAACUCACCAUUGUCCUACAGAGGUUGUAGUAAACAGAUUACGAACUUGUGAAAUUAGGAAAUUAUUUGAACAAGAGUUAAUAGGAGAUAGUAUCUAUCAACAGAAUGAUUGUGAAUUAACUUAUAUUCCAAAACCUCAAUGCAUAAAAUCCAACACAACAGAAAUCUGCACAUUUGUCAUUGCCAUUAAUAGCGAUAGGUCCCAAAGAAUUAAAGCCUUUCCAAAAGUCAGGAUAGAUGUAGCUAAAAAAACCCGUUUAGAUUAAUGUAAGCGAAACAACAGGAUAGAAACAGGUUCACCAUUCAAUUGGAUGCUACAAUGAGUGGGAUAAAGAGUCAUAGCAUCUUUAAGAUUCCAAAUGAUUAUAAACUGAUGGAUAAAAACGUUCAUCAUGGGCGCAUCAGGUAGGUUGGGCUAUCGAUAAGCUGUAGAUACAAUCUCCUACAUUGAUCAGUAUCAACAUAGAAAUGCCCAGGUGUUCCCUGCUUGAUGCUGGACUGUAGGCAUAUUGAAGUGCUUCUCAAAACCAGGUAUGCAUUUAGAGCCUUGAUAAACCCUGAGAGUAGAGGGGUCUCUUAACAUAAAAAUCUUUUCUGAAUGCGAUAGCUGUCUGCCUGCAAAUACAUAUUUUGGGCACUCUUAUCUAAGUCUAUAUAUUCAGUUUCCAUACAGAUAGGAGUAAACACAUGUCAGCCUCGGCCAAAUUGACCUGAAAUAGUCAUCAUAAUCAAGUCAUAGCCUUCUUCGUUCUCACCUAUGUUGGAGAUGAACAAAAGAGGCCCUAAUACGAAAACUCCCAGGCAAGAUAAACCAAUUUAAAUUUUGAACAACCGGCAAUCAUCAAGAAUCAACAAAGUUGACCAUUCGUCAGAAGCCCAGAAAAAGGAGGAAAAUUUUGUAGACCGUUGCUUGAUACAUUUUUUACAAGACAAAGACAAAGAAAAGGUCGUCCUCAUCAUCAAUGAGAUAAAU
rnacentral:lncRNA from 1 species